AACGCACGAGACCUGCGGACCUGCGGAGGGAUCAUUAAUGAAACAUGGACGUGGCCUGGGGGAGGCGGGCUGUGCUGGCGCCCUGUGCGCAAUGUGCACGCCCCCGACCCCUCGCCCGCUCAUCCUACCCACACCUGUGCACCCUCUGAUCUCGUCAGGCCUGGGGGGGAUCCGUCGCCCCCAACCUGGCGUUGACCUCUUCACAUCAUCCUUGAAAUGUACAGUCGAAUGUCAUGGCGU
rnacentral:misc_RNA from 1 species